GAUGAGUUUGAUCGUGGCUCAGGACGAACGCUGGCGGCGUGCUUAACACAUGCAAGUCGAGCGGAAAGGCCACUUCGGUGGUACUCGAGCGGCGAACGGGUGAGUAACACGUGAGUAAUCUGCCCCUGGCUUUGGGAUAGCCACCGGAAACGGUGAUUAAUACCGGAUAUGACUACUUGCCGCAUGGUGGGUGGUGGAAAGUUUUUCGGCCAGGGAUGUGCUCGCGGCCUAUCAGCUUGAUGGUGAGGUAAUGGCUCACCAUGGCUUCGACGGGUAGCCGGCCUGAGAGGGUGACCGGUCACACUGGGACUGAGACACGGCCCAGACUCCUACGGGAGGCAGCAGUGGGGAAUAUUGGACAAUGGGCGGAAGCCUGAUCCAGCAACGCCGCGUGAGGGAUGACGGCCUUCGGGUUGUAAACCUCUUUCAGUACCGACGAAGCGCAAGUGACGGUA
rnacentral:rRNA from 1 species